rnacentral:rRNA from 1 species
UACGUAGGGGGCUAGCGUUGUCCGGAAUCAUUGGGCGUAAAGAGCGUGUAGGCGGCCCGGUAAGUCCGCUGUGAAAGUCGGGGGCUCAACCCUCGAAUGCCGGUGGAUACGGUCGGGCUAGAGUGCGGAAGAGGCGAGUGGAAUUCCUGGUGUAGCGGUGAAAUGCGCAGAUAUCAGGAGGAACACCAAUUGCGAAGGCAGCUCGCUGGGACGUAACUGACGCUGAGACGCGAAAGCGUGGGGAGCAAACAGG